rnacentral:lncRNA from 1 species
AUGGUACACCGUACCACCAGGAAUGCAAUGACUUGGGCUGGAGGCAACUCUUCCUGAGAUCUGAUACAGGCCAACUUCUUCUGCCUAGAUGAAUCAAACCCAGUCUGCCCAAAGAAAAUGUAGCAGAUCUUCUCGGAAACUCAAAUGCCAUCGCCCUGAGGAAAACUUUUCCAUUCAACAAUUGUUAUUUGCUCUGUAUUCUCAUACU